CCUACGGGAGGCAGCAGUGGGGGAUAUUGCACAAUGGGGGAAACCCUGAUGCAGCGACGCCGCGUGGGUGAAGAAGUAUUUCGGUAUGUAAAGCCCUAUCAGCAGGGAAGAAAGAAGACGGUACCUGACUAAGAAGCCCCGGCUAACUACGUGCCAGCAGCCGCGGUAAUACGUAGGGGGCGAGCGUUAUCCGGAUUCACUGGGUGUAAAGGGAGCGUAGACGGCCGUGCAAGCCAGGAGUGAAAGCCCGGGGCCCAACCCCGGGACUGCUCGUGGAACUGUGCGGCUGGAGUGCGGGAGGGGCAGGCGGAAUUCCUGGUGUAGCGGUGAAAUGCGUAGAGAUCAGGAGGAACACCGGCGGCGAAGGCGGCCUGCUGGACCGCGACUGACGUUGAGGCUCGAAAGCGUGGGGAGCGAACAGGAUUAGAUACCCUUGUAGUC
rnacentral:rRNA from 1 species